rnacentral:rRNA from 1 species
CCUACGGGUGGCAGCAGUGGGGAAUAUUGCACAAUGGGGGAAACCCUGAUGCAGCGACGCCGCGUGAGUGAAGAAGUAAUUCGUUACGUAAAGCUCUAUCAGCAGGGAAGAAACACUGACCUUACGGUCAGCAGACGGUACCUGAGUAAGAAGCCCCGGCUAACUACGCGCCAGCAGCCGCGGGAAUACGUAGGGGGCAAGCGUUAUCCGGAUUUACUGGGUGUAAAGGGAGCGGAGGCGGUGCGCCAAGUCUGGAGUGAAAUGCUGCAGUUUAACUGGGGAACUGCUUUUGAAACUGGCGAACUAGAGUGCGGGAGGGGUAAGCGGAAUGCCUGGUGUAGCGGUGAAAUGCGUAGAUAUUAGGAGGAACACCGGUGGCGAAGGCGGCUUACUGGACCGUAACUGACGUUGAGGCCCGAAAGCGUGGGGAGCAAACAGGAUUAGAUACCCUUGUAGUC